AGAGUUUGAUCCUGGCUCAGGACGAACGCUGGCGGCGUGCCUAACACAUGCAAGUCGAGCGGGGAGAGAUUUUCGGAUUUCUCUUUAGCGGCGGACGGGUGAGUAACACGUGGGUAACCUGCCUCAAAGUGGGGGAUAGCCUUCCGAAAGGAAGAUUAAUACCGCAUAAUAUCAGAGCACUGCAUGGUGCUGUGAUUAAAGGAGCAAUCCACUUUGAGAUGGACCCGCGGCGCAUUAGCUAGUUGGUGAGGUAACGGCCCACCAAGGCGACGAUGCGUAGCCGACCUGAGAGGGUGAUCGGCCACAUUGGAACUGAGACACGGUCCAGACUCCUACGGGAGGCAGCAGUGGGGAAUAUUGGGCAAUGGGCGAAAGCCUGACCCAGCAACGCCGCGUGAAGGAAGAAGGUUUUCGGAUCGUAAACUUCUAUCCCAGAUGAAGAUAAUGACGGUAAUCUGGAAGGAAGCCCCGGCUAACUACGUGCCAGCAGCCGCGGUAAUACGUAGGUGGCAAGCGUUGUCCGGAAUGAUUGGGCGUAAAGGGCGCGUAGGCGGCUGAUCAAGUCAGUAGUGGAAGUCCAUAUUUCAAGUAUGGAAGUGCUAUUGAAACUGAACAGCUUGAGUGCAGGAGAGGUUAUCGGAAUUCCCGGUGUAGCGGUGAAAUGCGUAGAGAUCGGGAGGAACACCAGUGGCGAAGGCGGGUAACUGGACUGCAACUGACGCUGAGGCGCGAAAGUGUGGGGAGCAAACAGGANUANAUACCCUGNUAGUCCACACGGUAAACGAUGAAUGCUNGGUGUAGGGGGUAUCGACCCCNUCUGUGCCGGANUAAACACNNNANCAUUCCGCCUGGGGAGUACGGUCGCAAGACUAAAACUCAAAGGAAUUGACNGGG
rnacentral:rRNA from 1 species